ensembl:lncRNA
AUGCACUCCUGCAUCCUGUGGCACGGGGCCAGCGAAGGAUGGCAGCACGAAGCCAGGCAGGACGCCCACCCACCCACAUGGGCAUCCUUCUGCCCUUCCAUGCCCUGCUCGGCCACCCGCACCAAAGUGAAACCAGGGCUUUCUGCACCCACUGCGUGGCCUCGGCACUGCCCCACGCAAACUUACACCGCUGCCCCCUGCCCACCACACUGCCCCCUGCCCACCCCGCUCACCUGCAGCCACAGGGAGCCUGCUGCAGAACGGGCCGCGAGUGCGCAGCCCCCAGGCACCGCUCAUAGCCCCGGCACGGCUCUGCAGGAGAAGGGCGAGGAUGCCCGGCGGUGCAUCUUAUGUGGGUGCUGUGGAGGCGCCAGGGCCAGGUACCCAGCGGCUGCUGCUGCUGUGGUGCUGGGUGCUCGGUGCUGGGUGCUCAGCCGGCCGCCGCCGCCGCACGGGUGCAUUUCGGGAGAGCGCUCCGUGCAGGGUCUGGAGCCUAUUAUUUCCCCGCUGCAUGCUCUGACAAUUAGAGUUUCCAUGGAAAUGCAGACGUUUUGCAAGGGUGAAAUGCUCUACGUGUUGUGGGACAUCGGGAAGUCUGAACAGAGCCUGGCACUCACAGGGGGCUGCCCCGAGCACUCUCCGGUUCCCCCCACUUUGGCUGGAGCAGAGCCUUGGAGGCAUCCAUCCAUACUGCUCGAACAGCCUUCAGGUUUUGCUGUUAUUUUAGAACAGGUGGGAGGUGAUGGAUUCCCCCAGACAGUUCUCCUUUCUGAGUGUCAUGUCUUCACACAAACACGCACUAUCAGCCCUCCAGCCUGGGGUGCCUGAUGUGAUGCACUGAAAUAAUAUGAUCCAAGGAAGAGGAUAAUCUCCUACACUGUGGCUAUCUUGCUACUCCAGUGUUCUCAUGUCCUGACAGCGACUGGCAAUAGAAUAAGAGUUACUGAGGAAUUAUUUGACAUCUUUGUGAAUUUGGUGCUCCAGUUGGAGACAGUCAGCUGCGUGCUGAGACGAGAUGCACAGAAUGGCUGAGAACUGCUAAAAUCUGAGCUUCAUUCAGAACUUACCUGAUGCUAUGCAGCUUUUACUGCACAACAUGCAUUUUAUAUAUCUAUCUAACGAAAAACCUUUGAUAAGAGCAUGUUUCUGUGUUUUAGAGUGAUUAUGUAUGUGUGUUUUAUUGUUCCCAUACAUAUGAAAUUCUUUGGAGAAGAUUGGCAUAGUUCCUACAGAUUCAGUCUUCUGAGGUGAGCAUACAACACAGAGAGCAAGUAUGGCAGAGCAGGAGGUUUGUCGUAAGACUUUGUUAUAGCAUGUAUGUAUAUAUACAUACACAUAUAGUAUAUACGUUUGAAAGACUCAGUGACUCACACAGCCCUUUCUACUGCUCCACUGCUCUGUUUCAAGCACCCACCUGCAGCGUGAAUAACUCCAUGAAUGAUUGUUACUAUAACUGUGAGUUCAGGUCACUGAGUUUGUGACAUGUAAGAUCUACCUUCAGUCUCUUAUAGGUAAUAAUUAUUUUUAUAUGGUAUAAAAAAGUACUGUGAGGCUUGCUUCCUAUGUUUAUAUGACGUAUGAAAUUCUUGUGUAGACUGACCACUAUGACAAAAUAUUAUGAAUCACUUCAUUUACUGAUGAAAUGGAGAUCCUCAUGAUUAAUGACAAAAUGGAGGAGAAAAAGAUCGUAUCUACCAGAAAAUUUUCUCUGGUGGGCACAACGUCAUUCCUCUGUUUGGAUUUUGUUAGGCCACCAAAUGUAAAGCCUGUGUGGUGGGUUGACCUUACCUGGCUGCCAGGCCGCCACCACACCAGUCUCUCAUUCCCCUUUCUAUACAGGACAGAGGGAGAAAUUAAGAUGGAAAAGGUCAUGGGCUGAGAUAAAGACAGGGACAUUGCUCAUCAAUAACCAUCAUGGGAAAAACAGAGUUGGCUUGGGGAAGAUUAAUUUAAUCUAUUACCAAUGAAAAAUAGAGCAGGAUACUGGGAAACAAAACUACAGACACCUUCCCCAUCCUCCCUUCCUCACAGACUUAAUUUCACUCCUUCACGCCAAACUCUUCUACCUGCUCCUCCCCAAGCAGGAGACUGCAGGGCAAUCAGUAAUACCUUGGAUUGCUCCACACCUAUAACAAUGAGAGACCUCAUUUGUACAUGUCUUAAACUGUUACCAGUUUAGGAUGAAAUAUGCUUUUUUAUGGGAUCCUCAGCGCUAGCUUAGACCUUUGGGUUUUCUGCCUAAGCACAUCCACCUUUGCUCUGCUCAGACGGACUCUGGUGCAUGCUAAUGAUCCACACAUAACUGAAGUUCUCGAGAGGCCUGCACUUUCCUCCUGGUUGCUGGUGGUAAAUGUCAGCAGAGUCAAGCAAUGCUAAUUUACAGCUACAUUUAGAGCAGCCCUGAGGUAUGCCUGCAUUUUCCUUCCUCACAUGGAGGGCUGCAGGUUAGAUGCAGCUGAGCUGAAUGCCUGGAAAUACAGUAGGAACAUGAACAAACCUUCCCAUGAGGCUUAUUCUGCAAAACAUGUUACAAUCAUUUAUUGCAUGUAACUAUUUUUUUCUUAGCAAUAAUUAACACAGCUACUUGCUUGAGAGCUAUCCACAACGUAACAGAGCAUUGUCCUAUAACAGAGGUAUUCUAACUGGAACUCCUUGCACUUGAAAAAUUAAUCUGGAUCCUUGGAGAGUCAGGGCACUUCUGUUUUACAUGAGCUGCAAAAUUCUAAUACAGCCUGCAGGGGGACGUUUUUCAGGUGCUGUUCAAUAAACCUGAGUCGAUCUGGGUGCCUUUUCUCA